rnacentral:rRNA from 1 species
AUCAACUUUCGAUGGUAGGAUAGAGGCCUACCAUGGUGGUAACGGGUAACGGGGUGUUAGGGCACGACACCGGAGAGGGAGCCUGAGAAACGGCUACCACAUCCAAGGAUGGCAGCAGGCGCGCAAAUUACCCAAUCCCGACACGGGGAGGUAGUGACAAUAAAUAACAAUACGGGGUUCUUUCGGAUUUCGUAAUUGGAAUGAGUACAAUUUAAAUCUCUUAACGAGGAACAAUUGGAGGGCAAGUCUGGUGCCAGCAGCCGCGGUAAUUCCAGCUCCAAUAGCGUAUAUUAAAGUUGCUGCAGUUAAAAAGCUCGUAGUUGAAUUUCGGGACCAAUAUGUCGGUCGUGCCUCGGUACGUACUGGCAUCGUUGGUUUCUCCCUUCUGACGAACCAUGAUGUCGUUUAUUUGGUGUCGUGGGGAAUCAGGACUGUUACUUUGAAAAAAUUAGAGUGUUUAAAGCAGGCUCACGCUUGAAUACAUUAGCAUGGAAUAAUGAAAUAGGACGUUUGAUUCUAUUUUGUUGGUUUCUAGGAUCGACGUAAUGAUUAAUAGGGAUAGUUGGGGGCAUUAGUAUUCAAUUGUCAGAGGUGAAAUUCUUGGAUUUAUUGAAGACUAACUACUGCGAAAGCAUUUGCCAAGGAUGUUUUCAUUAAUCAAGAACGAAAGUUAGGGGAUCGAAGACGAUCAGAUACCGUCGUAGUCUUAACCAUAAACUAUGCCGACUAGGGAUCGGAUGAUGUUAAUUUUUUAAUGACUCAUUCGGCGCCUUACGGGAAACCAAAGUGUAAUCACUAGUGCGGCCGCCUGCAGGUCGACCAUAUGGGAGAGCUCCCAACGCGUUGGAUGCAUAGCUUGAGUAUUCUAUAGUGUCACCUAAAUAGCUUGGCGUAAUCAUGGUCAUAGCUGUUUCCUGUGUGAAUUGUUAUCCGCUCACAAUUCCACACAACAUACGAGCCGGAAGCAUAAAGUGUAAAGCCUGGGGUGCCUAAUGAGUGAGCUACUCACAUU